rnacentral:misc_RNA from 1 species
UUAUUUUUCUUUGAUAGUAGAUUUGUGUGGUGGAGUAGGCUUACGCCGAAUCACGUUAAAUUUUGUGUACUUUAUUUUAUGUGGGUGUAGUUUUUUACAACAAGUUUUUUGCCGCUUUAUUGAGAGUGUAAGAUGCUUUCUAUUUACUGUUCUUGAAUGCAUGUUCUUUAAUAAUUCACUAUGGACUUCUAGGGUGAUAAAUGUUUUUCAGCUUAGGGGUUGUGCUUUACCAGCCGUGUCAAGGAAUCAUCUGGAAGUC